ensembl:antisense Gm2366 predicted gene 2366
ACUAAGAAAUUUUACGCUGGGGUUUCAGAGGGCUUCUUCUUGUAAGAAGUUAGGGGACCGAGAAACCGUUUUCUGAAGCCCACCGCCCUUCAGGAGUUUUCAAGAUGUCCACAAUCUUCCCUUCUUAACCUUUGCCAAGCUGACUUGAUCAUGUAGUUGGUGACUCUCAAGGAGGAGGGAUUUUGCUUCCAGGGAGACAUCUGGCAGAGCUCGGCUGUCAACAGCACUUGGAAGGGAGGAAGCGUUGCUUCCACGUAGAUGAUAGCAGCCAAGAGACAAAAACAGCUUACGCCACGCACAACGGCCUCCCUCUGCAACAAGGAGCUGUUUUUGCUUCCAAACAUCAACCGCACUGAUGCAGCCGAGAAGCAAACCGCUACGACAGAUGGGCUUUGCUGGCAUCUCCUCGGACCUUCCCAGGCUCGCCCACGCAGAUUCAGUACUUCCCCCAAUGCCUCAAAACCCCACAGGGUUGGGAGUUCCUAAGAGACCACUGAGACUCAACACGAAAACACUAUGUAUCGCAGGCGGGACUCCUACUCACCAUCCUCCGGCCUCAGCCUCCCAAGGGCUAUGCUUAAAGGCGUAUGCCAUCAUACCCAGCUCCUGAAUCCUCUCUAUAGUAUGGAUAACAUUCUUACUAUGCAUACACAAUGUGAAGUUCAACAAUAUCAUCAUCUGCGGUAUCCUAGCAUUGAAUUAACAGGACCCUGAGCCCGUUGCUGACAUAAAAAUGGUAAAAACAGGAGCCCAGAGUGAUUUGGUAUUUGGACCUCACACAGGUACGUAUCGGGCACAAAGCUUCAGCCGUACAGAAGGCAGCCCAGACUGCCGACUGCGGAAAGUGAGCGACUGGCAACAGGUACGUUUUUCUCAGCCCUGAAAUAACAGGUUUGCCCCCUGAGAAUGGGAAUAAGGUAGUGGGCGAACUUUGUACCAGGGUGGGGUUGACAUUUAUGCUUGCUGAAGUGGUAUAACUUUAAAUUAUAGUCUUGCAUUUCAACGGGGGAGUUAUCUGGACUAACAAGUCAAUGUUGCCCUUAAGUCGUGACUAUUUACUAGAUAGCACAGAAAAGAGACAUGUAGUGGGACCCCAUCUCUUCCUAUGUCUGACACAUGGCCCGUGCGUGUUCAGUAAGGACUUGCUGACAGUGUGGAAACCUCUCCCACGUGUCAGUGGCAAUUAUACUGUAAACCUGAGGGACAAAGCCAACUCUAAUCCGUAGAUUCACCGAGUGUUAUACAUCUCCAGGGCUGACAACAGUAGGAAAGUAAUGCUCUAAUCUGCUUCUCUGACAAGCCGACACCACCCAGAGUACAGCACUUAGUCUCUUGUGCGUAAUUCAGUUACUACUGGAAAAACCCUUUCAUUAAAUUACUUUCUCUGAAGACUUCAAAUCAGAGAAAAACUAUUGCUCAAUAAAUUUCUCCUAAUUAAACAUGCAGGUAAAUUUAAUAACCAAGUCUCUUGAACUUUAUUAAAUGCAAUCAGAUACAAAUCAGAAACAGCUAAUUAUGAAUAAAUGUUCAAUGAAAGGCAAUAUGAACAUUUUACAGUUCACCAUGUUCCGAUGGGUAUAUGUACACACACACACACACACACACUUCUGAACUCUCACAGUAGUGGCUUCCUAUAGAAGUUUUUUUUUUUUUAGCACAUUACAUUAUGAAAGCUGUGUCUUACAGCCUUAUUCCACACGGGAACAGUCCAAUGGCGCUUACUCUAUUCUUUGGGGAGAGACAGAGUUCCAUUCUCAGAAUACCAAAUUACUAAUCCCAUCAGUCAUUACAAACACUCAAAGAAUGCACAUGCCUUCACUCAGACACCAACAAUCAUAUUUUAACCACCCAGUUGUUGAAAAUUAUGUGAAAGCCAACGGAAAGUUGAACAUUUUCGCCUACAUAAACCCAGUCAGUUUGUCUAUGACAAAGUCUCUUCAUUGAAAUGCUCGGGCAUGCACGAAUGGAAUGCACUGUUUUUCUAACUGCUGAAUUUCUCAAGCAGUGGAAAAAAUUCUUUAUCUCCUUUAUCCAAGGCACUAACCUGGUAACAGUGCAUUUUAACGCUCUCAUCCCAGGUGGUAUAGAAAAUCUUAUCUGUAAAUAACAAAGUCAACCUGGUUCUUUUAAGGGAAACAAACGAGUUUCCCAACACGUAAAGAAAUAAGUUUAAUUGGCACAGAAAGCAAAUGGGCAAGUAUUUUUGUCAAACUUGCUCCCUAUAUACUCAGAUUUAGAGUCUGAGAUCUAUAACCUGCAAUCUCUGCAUGCAAUGCCUAGCAGAGACCACAGACAACAAGUUAAGUAUUCUGAGCUUAAAGAAAAUCAGUAGAUUAGGAUACGCUAAAACCAUUUCACAAAAUGACGCGUGAAACUGGCUCUAUGUCUUCUACUACCGAUGACUGUGAGGACGGUGGGAAACUGAAGCCUUCUCCAGACUCUACACUUAGAGGUAUUUAGCAGGGCCAACUCUUUCCUGAUUUUAUUCUGGAACUCCUUGGCCCAGGCUCAGUUGACCUUCCUGGCUUGGGCUAUAUCUGUGCUACCUCUAGACAAUGUGACAGGCCCCUUCUCAGAAGCCACCACUCUGUGGCCUGUUUCAACAGCUGGAUUCUAUGCAUGAUACUCUACUGUCAAAAGGACUGUGGGGCUAGUUCACAAGGCACAGGACACAGGGUAUCCCCUUUUUCUCUGAGAAUUGACCCAACACAGGGAGAUAUCAUACUCUCCUGGCAUUUCUGAGCCAGAGAAAAUACUCUCAUUAAAAUGUUGAAUUACUAAGCCAGAAUUUGCCUGACUAGUUUAAGAGCCUAAAAUGACUCCAAAAAAAAAAAAAAAAUACUGAAUUAGAAAAAUAAAGUUCCCCCACUCCCGUAGGAUUUAUCAGUCUUAAUUUAUGUUAAUACUGAUAAUCUCCAGAAUUCUUGACACUCAAGCUUAUUAGGACUUUAUCUUUGUUCCUUGGCAGAGGUUUUUUCCCCCCCUAAAUCCCUUUUGCCUUAUACAUUAAACAGUAGUUAAAAAAGAUUUAAUCCAUUUCUGCAGCGCUAUGUGGAAGUAUGCUUCAGCACCUAGAAGCAGUUUUAGAAAAUGCGAGAUACGCCGUUCAAGCACAGUCACGAGACUGCACGGCUUCCGACCUACCUGAUUCGAUCGAGUAGAGCACUUCAGCGUUCCUCCCUUUGUCUUUGUCCAGAGCUGUCACUUGCAGCACAACUGAGCCCACGGCUGCCGAUUCAUAAACCCGCCCGUCGUAGGACGGACUGGUGAACCACGGCGCGUGGUCAUUCUUGUCACUGACAUUGACAACGAUCCUGGCAAAGUUGCGUUUCACAGGGACAUCCUGAUCCCGGACCUGGGAGAGAAAAGUCAACAUGUUGUCUACUGGGGUUCUUCUUUCUUGUGGAUUAAAAACAAACAAACAAACAAGCAAACAAAAUCAUAAAAUAAUACAUAUAUACAUACAUACAUACAUAAAUACAUAAAUAAAAUUAUUAUGCUUUUCCAUCCCAGGAAACCUGCCAGUCAGAAAGAGAGACGGCAGGGUAAAGGGUGCCUUCCGUACCAUGACCGUGAGAACGUGCUGGUGAAUGGCUUCAUGGUCAAGCUUUUCAGCAGUGUAAAGAGCGCCUGUUGCGGGAUCGAGGCGGAAUUUCUUGAGGCUGGCUGGAUCGAUGCUGCUCUGCAGAGUGUAGAUCAACUUGUUUUUCUCAUCUCUAUCUACUGCACUGAUCUGCAGAAUCUCCACUUCUGGCUCUGUGUCCUCGGGAACAGCAACUUCGUAUUUCGAUGUAGAAAACUGGGGGCGGUGGUCAUUGGUAUCUAUUACUUUGAUGAGGACCUGGAACGAGUGACAAGGACACUCACAUAAAGACACAUUCACAAUUAUGUUUUAAUACUUAAAAAUAAAUACAUAUUGAAAAGAUGCCAUUGAACCAAACUACAUAUGGACACGAGAAAAAAAAAAAGCAAUAAAAAUCUAGAUUCAAAG